rnacentral:rRNA from 1 species
AUGCGUAUCUCUCGAGACGUGACUUUUGAUGAGUCUCGUCCUUUCUACCCACGCCCAUCUUCCUCGAUUUUUUCCGUGGAGGAUAUCUCUUUCCUCACUUUUCCUGACUCACCUAUCACCCCCGUCGCGCCUCUGCCUAUUCGUUCCACUCCCUCUGCUUCUCCACCCCUCGUCGAUUUACAGCCACCAUCUUCCCCGGUCUCCUCACCUAGCAUGUCACCGGAUUCUACACCUUCAUCUCCGGUGACUUCUUCGUCGCCACCCCCCGAUUCUACCUUGGCGAUUCCUCCUUCUAUUGUUCCCUCUUUUCCUCAGCAUUACACUCGUCGUUCACGACCUGUGGAUGCUUCCUUGGAUGAGUCGUCCUCUUCCUCUCAGCCUACUUAUGGCUUGCGUUCUCGUCCUCGUCCGCCUGUUGAUCGCUUUGGAUUUCCCACCGCUGGUGCUGCUGUUCUUGAGCCGACUUCUGACCGUCAGGCUGUUGUUCAUCCUGAAUGGCAGUUUGCGAUGGCAGAGGAGAUUGCUGCUCUUGAACGCACUGGUACCUGGGAUCUUGUUUCUCUUCCUCCCGGAGUCCGUCCCAUCACUUCUAAGUGGGUCUAUAAGGUUAAGACUCGCUCCGAUGGUUCUCUUGAGCGUCACAAAGCUCGUCUUGUGGCUCGUGGUUUUCAGCAGGAGCAUGGUUGUGAUUAUGACGAGACUUUUGCUCCUGUGGCCCAUAUGACCACUAUUCGUACACUUCUUGCCGUUGCCUCUGCACGCCACUGGUCUAUAUCUCAGCUUGAUGUUAAGAAUGCCUUUCUUAAUGGUGAGCUGCGUGAGGUGUACAUGCAGCCACCCCCUGGGUAUUCUGUUCCUGAUGGCAUGCUAUGUCGUCUUCGUCGCUCUCUCUAUGGCCUUAAGCAAGCCCCUCGCGCCUGGUUUGAGCGUUUUGCCUCUGUGGUCACUACUGCUGGUUUUUCAGCAAGUGCUCAUGAUCCAGCCUUGUUUAUUCACCUUUCUCCUCGUGGUCGGACUCUUCUUCUUCUCUAUGUUGAUGACAUGGUCAUCACUGGGGAUGACCCCGAGUAUAUUGCCUUUGUAAAGCCCCGUCUUAAUGAGCAGUUUCUUAUAUCUGAUCUUGGACCUCUUCGCUACUUUCUUGGGAUUGAAGUCUCUUCUACUUCUGAUGGCUUUUUCUUAUCCCAGGAAAAGUAUAUCCAGGAUCUUCUUGCUCGUGCUGCUCUUACUGACGAGCGCAUUGUUGAGACUCCUAUGGAGCUCAAUGUUCACCUCCGUGCUACUGAUGGUGAUCCUCUCCCUGACCCGACGCGUUAUCGUCAUCUUGUUGGCAGUCUUGUCUAUCUAGCUGUCACUCGUCCGGACAUCUCUUAUCCGGUUCAUAUUCUGAGUCAGUUUGCCUCUGCUCCCACAUCGGUUCACUAUAGUCAUCUCCUUCGUGUUCUCCAAUAUCUUCGGGGCACGAUCUCUCACCGUCUAUUCUUUCCUAGCUCCAGUUCUUUACAGCUUCAGGCCUAUUCGGAUGCUACGUGGGCUAGUGAUCCUUCUGAUCGCCGUUCACUUUCUGCUUACUGUGUUUUUCUUGGUGGUUCUCUCAUUGCCUGGAAGACGAAGAAACAGAUUGCAGUUUCCCGUUCGAGUGCUGAGGCUGAGUUGCGAGCCAUGGCUCUUUUGACGGCAGAGGUGACUUGGUUACGGUGGUUACUUCAGGAUUUUGGUGUUUCUGUCACUACACCGACUCUGCUCUUAUCUGACAGUACAGGUGCUAUUAGCAUUGCGCGCGAUCCUGUGAAGCAUGAGCUCACCAAGCAUAUUGGUGUUGAUGCUUUCUAUGUGCGCGCUGCUGUGCAGGAUCAGGUUAUUGCUCUUCAGUAUGUGCCUUCCGAGUUACAGUCGGCAGAUUUCCUGACGAAGGCCCAGACUCGAGCACAACAUGGCUUUUAUCUCUCCAAACUCAGUGUUGUUCAUCCACCAUGA